AUGGUAGUUAGAGGAUAUUGAGAGAAAAUAGGCUAUAUGAAAAGGAUAGAAAGAUAAGAAUUAUUUUAACACGGUCUGUUUGUAAAGAAUUCCCUCAAUCUCAACUUGUUGUCCUUGACUAUAAAAAUAUUACUUUCCAGGACUCUUCAAGAUGGUGGGGUAGGAGCAGAUCGGGGUUGCAGCAGCUCGGGGUUGUGGCUCUCAGUGAAGGCUCAGAGGGCCAGAGCAGACUAAGACAACCUACCGCUAAUGUUGAAGAAACCCCACAUUAUGACAGGUGAGAAUCAUAAAUUGGACUGGACUGGUAGAGCUCAUAAAAGGCCUUCAGGCCACAUCAGCAAACAAAACUCGCACACAUAGACACACACACAGCUGCCAGGAGUAUCUACGGUAUUUGCUAAAUGAUUUUUGCUUAUUAUUCUAUGUAUACAAUUAGCUCCAUUACCCAGUUAACUCUCCUUCUCUUAUGUUCAUCAGUCAGCUGGAAAAACAACUAUUGCUAGUCCCUCGACUAUAAGAAUAAAACUGCUAAUGGG
rnacentral:lncRNA from 1 species